GCACCCCCCGUUGCGGCCACAGACGCCGCCGGAUGAUGUUCGAUUUCCCGAACGUCAUCUGGCUCCACCGCCGCCGGUGAGGCCGCCGAUGUUCCUUCGGCCGCUUCUUCCACCGGCCUCUCCUCCGCAUGCGCUGCCGGAGCCGCGAGCGCUAUCACUGGCUCCGAUUGGUCGGUCGCCGAUGCUUCGACGGUCGGCGCCGCUGGAGUAGGCUUCUUCGGAGGAUGCGAAGGUCCUACCCCCGAUGCCGGUCUCUUCCUUGUUUCCAAUUGCCGGAUCUCGACGUCGGUCGGCCGCAUUCUUGGAGGUGUCCCUGCGAUACCGAC
rnacentral:lncRNA from 1 species